rnacentral:rRNA from 1 species
UACGUAGGGUGCGAGCGUUGUCCGGAAUUACUGGGCGUAAAGGGCUCGUAGGCGGCCAACUAAGUCAGACGUGAAAUCCCUCGGCUUAACCGGGGAACUGCGUCUGAUACUGGAUGGCUCGAGUUUGGGAGAGGGAUGCGGAAUUCCAGGUGUAGCGGUGAAAUGCGUAGAGAUGCGGAGGAACACCGAUGGCGAAGGCAGCCCCCUGGGCUGACACUGACGCUCAGGCACGAAAGCGUGGGGAGCAAACAGG